GUUGUUAUUGUAUAUCAAGAAGUGUACUUUCUGGAGAGAACAGAAUUCAAAAGGCAAAGAAAAUUUGACCCUAAAUUGAUUUCAAGGGUGCAGAAGUGUUUCAGACUUAUUGAUAUCUCCAGUGGUACAAAAUGAAUAAAAAAAAUCCAAGCCAAUUUUGAAGAAUCUUCAAGGAAGUUGUACAUACUUCGCUUCGCUAGAAUUUUGCAUUAUCAGGAACAGCCAAGUUUGCCA